rnacentral:rRNA from 1 species
AUGGAGGCAACUCUGACGCAGCCAUGCCGCGUGCAGGAAGAAGGCGCUACGCGUUGUAAACUGCUUUUAACCGGGAAGAAACCCCAGGACGUGUCCUGGGUUGACGGUACCGGAGGAAUAAGCACCGGCUAACUUCGUGCCAGCAGCCGCGGUAAU